rnacentral:rRNA from 1 species
UAGGGAAUCUUCCGCAAUGGACGAAAGUCUGACGGAGCAACGCCGCGUGAGUGAAGAAGGAUUUCGGUUCGUAAAACUCUGUUGUUAGGGAAGAAAAAAUGUAUAGUAACUAUAUACAAAAGAGACGGUACCUAACCAGAAAGCCACGGCUAACUACGUGCCAGCAGCCGCGGUAAUACGUAGGUGGCAAGCGUUGUCCGGAAUUAUUGGGCGUAAAGCGCGCGCAGGUAGUUUAGAAAGUCUGAUGUGAAAGCCCACGGCUCAACCGUGGAGGGUCAUUGGAAACUAAUAAACUUGAGUGCAGGAGAGAAAAGUGGAAUUCCUAGUGUAGCGGUGAAAUGCGUAGAGAUUAGGAGGAACACCGGUGGCGAAAGCGGCUUUUUGGCCUGCAACUGAAACUGAGGCGCGAAAGCGUGGGGAGCAAACAGG